UAGGGAAUCUUCCGCAAUGGACGAAAGUCUGACGGAGCAACGCCGCGUGAGUGAUGAAGGCUUUCGGAUCGUAAAACUCUGUUAUUAGGGAAGAACAAAUGCGUAAGUAACUGUGCGCAUCUUGACGGUACCUAAUCAGAAAGCCACGGCUAACUACGUGCCAGCAGCCGCGGUAAUACGUAGGUGGCAAGCGUUAUCCGGAAUUAUUGGGCGUAAAGCGCGCGUAGGCGGUUUCUUAAGUCUGAUGUGAAAGCCCACGGCUCAACCGUGGAGGGUCAUUGGAAACUGGGAAACUUGAGUACAGAAGAGGAAAGUGGAAUUCCAUGUGUAGCGGUGAAAUGCGCAGAGAUAUGGAGGAACACCAGUGGCGAAGGCGACUUUCUGGUCUGUAACUGACACUGAGGUGCGAAAGCGUGGGGAGCAAACA
rnacentral:rRNA from 1 species